rnacentral:tRNA from 1 species
CAUAGUGUAGCUUAACAUAAAGCAUCUGGCCUACACCCAGAAGAAUUCAUAGUAAAUGAACACUCUGA